CCCCAGGCGCAGGCUUGGAGCCACACGCCCCUUCAUAGUGCCGUUUUUUCUUCGGCCAUGGAUUGCAGCGGCGACAGCUGGUAAGCCGAUUGGCCGAACGUUUGAAGCCGCCGUGGAAUUUUUGAGUGAAGGGGCUACGGUUU
rnacentral:sRNA from 1 species